GCAAAACCACAUUCCUGCUGCUGUCAGUUAUGAUGCACUGAGAAAACUUCAGAGACCUAAACUUUUUCCAGAGAAGAGAAGCUUUACUGGUGUUCCAGCCCUAAGAAACUUAAAUCCUCAGUGUGACACAACUCAGUCCUUCUACUGCAGCAGCUCUUUUAUAAAUGCCUCCCAAAGCUCCAAGAAGGAACAAAGAAUGUGACCCAGUAAGAUCACACCAUGAGUCUAUAUUGCAGAAACCUUUGUUCAACAAAACUGCAGAUGCUCUGUUGAAUCCACUGGAGAUUGUUCUGAUACUAAGGACAAGUAUGGGAAUUUCUACUCAUCUUAAAAACAUAUAUAGAUAUUGAUCUGCGGAGAAAUAUAUCUCUGUUAUUUCAAGGAAACAUCUUUCCUGUGAAAAAUUCCCUCUCCUAGUACUUUAGUUCUGUGGAUCCAAAAUUUAUAGCAUUCUUCUACCACCACAGGGGCUCAUAUGACAUUAACAGACAAGACACUUUUCAGAAAGACAGGUAAGUCAUUUGUUAAAAUCUCAUUGUUCUUUUGGGCCACAUCUAAGAAAUCUUUGUCUAGCCAAAAGCCACAAAUAAUUUCUCAUUUUUUGGCUUCUGGAAGAUGUACAGUUAAAUGUUAUAUUUGGGACUGUUAUCUAAUUUGGUUAAAUUGCACUCUACAAUAUGGUAUUUGAAUUGAUGAAAAAUUAGUAAAUGUUAAUAUUUUUUAAAGUAGCCAAAUCUUGCAAUUUAUAUAUAAUAGAGAAGACUAGAAAAUCCCCCAUAUUUAUUUCCUCUUACUUCGUACUACUAAAAUUUGUAUUUAGGCAUUUGGUUUCUCAGAUAAACAUUACAUUCCCCAGUAUAUGGUUCUAUCUGGCUUGGUGACGACAUGUUGAACAUUAAGAUGUGAGCAGAAGUAAUACAUACACACUCUUUUUCAUGUCUUUAAUUGAAUGGGAUAUUGGCCCAUUUUUUCUUCCAGUUUAUUACACUGAAUAUUGACAUGUUAUUUUCCAAUAUUGAGACAAUCAAUGACAAGACUUUAAGAGUAACAAUGUAAAAAUACAGAAGUUGUCUGAGUUUAUCAACAAUCCCCUGGAUUAGAACCCCCUACCAGUUCUAGGUCAUCUAAUAUAUAGACAUUGUGUUCAGUAGAAAUAAAUAUAUAUAU
rnacentral:lncRNA from 1 species